UACGUAGGUCCCGAGCGUUGUCCAGAUUUAUUGGGCGUAAAGCGAGCGCAGGUGGUUUAUUAAGUCUGGUGUAAAAGGCAGUGGCUCAACGAUUGUAUGCAUUGGAAACUGGUAGACUUGAGUGCAGGAGAGGAGAGUGGAAUUCCAUGUGUAGCGGUGAAAUGCGUAGAUAUAUGGAGGAACACCGGUGGCGAAAGCGGCUCUCUGGCCUGUAACUGACACUGAGGCUCGAAAGCGUGGGGAGCAAACAGG
rnacentral:rRNA from 1 species